ensembl:lncRNA
GGUUGUGACUCACAGCAAAGGCAUCAGAAUGGCAUUAAUUGAAGAAACAAAUGCCCCAAGUGACAGACUCCUUACUGUAAAAGCUGUCGAUGAACCCAGACAAUAAACACUGCAUUCAACACAAGCUUGCCUGCCCCUGUCGCCUCUGUGAGCCAACCAAGUGAGCCCCUGCCACCUCUCAGGUGCUAUGCUGACUUGAUCCCUUUCUCAAGCAACUUAGAGCCUAACGAUGGUAAACAAGCCCUGGAGAGCCAUGAUAAGCAGCUGGGUGUUAUGGGUGAACUUGGUGUUAUGGCAAGACUGGAAGCUGUCUGACCUGAUGGGGUAAGCAGAGCCUGUCUGGACUGCCUGCCACUCAUGAUGAGAAGUUUCUGGAAUCAAAGUUUUCAGCCAUGUCCCAAGGCAGACUGACACAGAACUUAUGCUAGACUAACAUCCCUUGGUGCAGUGGGGUCCAGGGAGUCACUGAGAUAACCAUCCUGAGAGUCAAGUUGGAAGAGUAAGGAAAAGGUGAAAUGUGAGAAGAGGCAGGAAUGGAGAGGAUUUACAACAGGAAGGCAAGGCUUUGAGGAGUUUCCAGGGUAAGCCUCAGUCUUUAACCACAGAGAGCUCUGGAAUUUCCACUCUAAGGUAUUUGGUAUGUAAGUCCCCAGCUCGGGAAAGUACUUAGAAAGAGUCAUGCAAAACUGGAGAGAAAUCUUAUUUAUUAAGCGUUAAGUUUUGCCGAUUCAAUGGACAUGAGUUUGAGUAAAUUCUGGGAGUCGGUGAUGAACAGAGAGGCCUGGCAUGCUGCAGUCCAUGGGGUGGCAAAGAGUUGGACAUGACUGAGUGACUGAACUGAACUGAACUGAAGUUUUGCUUAGGCUUAAUAGACUCUCGACUGUAUGACUUCAAGAAAUACAAAGUGUAUUUUGUCUCCUAGGUAACAGUUUACCACAGACAAUGAUAAAAAUCAUAAACAUCUCAAAAUCAUAGGUUCAGCCCUUGUGUGUGUGCCUGUGUGCUCAAUUGUGUCCAACUCUUUGCGACCCCAUGAACUGUAGCCUGCAAGACUCCUCUGUCCAUGGGGAUUCUCCAGGCAAGAAGACUGGAGUGAGUUGCCGGGCCCUCCUCCAGGGGGUCUUCCUGACCCAGGGAUCGAACCCAUGUCUCCUUCGUCUCCCCCAUUAACAGAUGGAUUCAUUACCACCGAGCCAACUGGGAAACCUGUCCACCCCUUAAAUCUUCCCACCCACUCUGCAGAGAUAUAUUUCUAUUUUAUUCCUAAAUAUUACCAAAAGUGGAAAGUUUAAGCUAUCCAUUGGUAGCUCAUUUCUGUGGUUUUAUCAGAGUAAGUCUUUAUUCCAUGAAUUUGCUUUUACUAAUGAAAGAACACUAUUUCUAUGACAUACAGAUGGCUAUCCAAAGAACUCUCAGAAAUUCCUCAGAUCUUAGUUAGUCACUUGAGAAAGGCUAAUAAAGUAAUUUUAUGUCAAAUGAGUACUUUCUCCACCAGAAAUAGGGCUGCAAGAUUUUUUUUUCUCAACAAGAUAGUACAGAAUGGGGGCAAAUUUUCUUUUUUGUUUUUCUUCUAACAUGUUCUCCAGACACCUCCUCUAAGGCAGUUUUAUCAUGUGAUAACCACGUGUUUAUAUAUUUGAUUUUCCUCUAGACCCAGCCUCGCUGAAUGGAGGGAUUAUACCUUGUUUAUCUUCAGCACCCAUCACAGUGUUUGACAGUAAAUGCUCAAAAAAUAUUUUAUGAAAGAAUGCAUCCAUGUCUGUGUGCUCAGUCAUGUUUGACUCUUUUGCAACCACAUGAACUGUAGCUUGUCAGGCUCCUCUGUCCAUAGGAUUUUUCAGGCAAGAAUACUGGAGUGGGUUGCCAUUUCCUACUUCAGGGGAUCUUUCCGACUCAGGGAUCGAACCUGUGUGUCCUGAGUCUCCUGCAUUGGCAGGCAAAUUCUUUACCACUGCACACCUGGGAAGCACUCAUGAAAGAAUAAAUACAAUCAUAUGCCAGGUCUGUCUUCAUCUACACGUGUUAUCUUAUCACCUAUAUUUUGUCUUAAUUUAACAAAGAAGAGAGGAAGGGGUGUAAAUCCAAUGAUUUCACUCCUCCUCUAAAGUUCUCUGAGGACCACAUGAGCAUGUCUGUCCAGACCCUGAGCAAGAUGUUUGUGCUGAGCUUCCUUUUCAGGCCAGAUGCACGCAAAGUACCAGUGUGAGUACUGGGGAUCUGCUCACUACAUUUACUUUGGUAAUCUAUCCUAGACUGGAACUUUCUUCCUUUGAGGAUAACAUCCUAGAGAUUAUCCCACUGCCCAAGAAAACUCUGGAAUAAUAAGAGACCUUCCCCAAAUCCAACUUUAUGAAUCAAGUAGGAUCAGGGUAGCUACUGACCCUUCUGUGCCCUCUUUUCCCUGGAAGUGACUUUCUAGACUUGCCAGUGUCCUAAGGGCAUCCCAGAGCCAAAGAAACCUUCACAAUAGCAUUAUCUGAAGUAUGGGAAGAGUACUUGAUAUGGAGUCUUAAGCCUAGGGACAAAAGCCACAUUCCAUCUCUUUGGACAAGUCAUUGGUUAAGCUUUGAGCUUCAGUUUCCUCAUCUGUAAAGUAAAAAUGAUAACUAUCUUGCUGUGAUAUACAAAUAAAAUAAUGGAUGUGGAAAGAUUAGAUGAACCAAAAAGUUAUAAACAUCAGUUCUGUUAAUUAAGCUCUAGCCACACAGCCUUUCUACCUGUUCUCUAAAUGUCACAAGCUCAUCCUAGCCCCAGGCCCUUUACAUUCACUGCUUCUUCUACCUAGGAUGCUGUUUACUAGUUCUCGUCAUGGUUAAUUCCUACUUCAAACACGUCUCUACUCAGUGUUACCUCCUCAGAGAUAACCUCCCAGACCAUUCUCUCUAAAAUAGCACUUCUUGGCCCUUUUAUUAUUUUAAAUUGUUUUAUUUUUUCUUGAUGGCACUUACUGACAAUAUUACAUUUGUUUGAUCAGUUACUGUCUCUCUCUCUCUCAUUGGAACACACCUCUUUUGAGGGCAGGGACUUUGUCUUCUACUGUGUCACUAAAAGCUAUAAUGGCCCACACAGAGUAGGCACCCAUUAAGUAUUUGUAGAGUAAGUUAAUAAACAAGCCAAUGCAAGCAUAGGAAUGGAAAAAGUUCUGAUGAUGAGAUGCAGUUAAAAGCUAAAGAAGUAACAAAAAGGAACAGAAGAGUAUUUGAUUUGAAAUGAACCCUAAAGCAGGAUUUGAGAAUUUUGUAAAGGAAGUUCUGUGAUUUUUCCAUAGGCAUAAAUAAUCAACAUCUCAAAUUUAUAGGCUGUAAAUUAUUUGAGGACAAAGAACUUACUUUUAUCUCUUUGUACACCCCUCUCCCAUUGCCAAGCUGAAUACCUAGUGAAACUAAAUAAAAUGUUAAUUUGUUUGUUUACAGAGACAUCAAUACAAUGCUGCUGACAACUUACUAGGGUAUUGAUCUAGUACUAAUUCAGAGAAAAAAAUAAUGGCUCCAAGACAAAUUAUAGACAUUGUUUACAUCACAAUUAUAUUUCUUGGUAAUGUCUUGCCUAAAUAAAUGCAAAGCUUAUUAAAAAAAAAAAAAAAACUGUUAAAAAUCACACCCUUGGGGUAGAGAGGAACACUCCAGAAUAGAAAUUUAUGAAGGAAAAAUGUCUGUCCACCCAUGGAUUUCCCCUGUUUCUUUCUCUCUUCUUGUCACAAAUUUUCAAGUUCAAUAAACAUGGUGAUCAAUUAGGGAAGAGGAAAAGGCAGGAGGGAUGAUUAAAGGAGGAAAGAGGAGAACAGAAUGUAAGGGAUGGAAUCCAUGUAGAGCAGAUGAAAAGGGCAGGAAAUCUCUGAGCCAGGAUUGAAUAUGUACCUUGUCAAUGACCUAUUGUGACAAAAGCCAAAUGCACAAAGGAUCUUGCAAGGUGUAGGAAAAAAUUUAUGGGAGAGUUAUUUUAGCACAUGAAUACAAAUUCUUUAAAGUAUUAAUUAUUUUUAAAUCAAUUCAUUCUGCAUUCAUGUUUAAAUACUGACCAUGGGCAUGCCAUUACCAAACCACAGAGGUACUAUUUUACAUUAAUAAUAUUUGUAUUAUAUUUGAGAAGAUGACUAGGACUAUCAUUCAAUUAUUUCAAUCUGUCAAUAUUUAGACAGCCAAAUCUAUCAAUUCACUUAAACAAUAUUUAAUGAGCACCUAUUACGCUUUGAGAAGUCAGUGCAGGGCCACUCAGAAUACAUGACUUGUCUUCCUUAUCCUCAAAGAACUUAUGUUGAUGAGAAAAGAGAACAGCAAAUAAUUGCGUCUAACAAAUAAGUGUAUGUAUUGUCAUCAGACUGAGUUUUUCAGCUACAUGUUUGUGUUUUAUGGGCUUCCCCGGUGGCUCAGCAUUAAAGAAUCCACCUGCAAUGCAGGAGCCAGCUGCAGGAGAUGGGUGGGGAAGAGUCCCGUGGAGGAGGGCAUGGCAACCCACUCCAGUAUUCUUGCCUGGGGAACCCCAUGGGACAUAGGGUCAGAAAGAGUUGGACAUGACUGAAGCAACUUAGCAUGCAGUUUGUAUUUUAUUGCUAUGUGUAAGAAAGACAAUGAAUAUUCAUGGACAAUUUAAAAAAGGAGAUACCAUUUAUGCCUUGGAGGGCAUUCACCAGGACAAAAAGGGAAAGGACAUUCCAGGUAGAGAGGAAAGCAAGAGCAGAGGUAGAAGGUGACAUUAUAAUUAUAGGUAAGAUCUCUUUGCAGUAAAAGGGCAGAGUGAGAAAAGAGAAAAAGAGAGAGAUCUGGUUUCAGAACUCCUAGAAACACCAAGGUCUAAGGAUUGGACCAAGUGGAAGGAGCCACUGCGAACAGUUCCUUCAAAUUUUCCAUCCCUUCUUGCAACUGCAUUGGUGCUUGUGAUGGGUUAGUGGAAUCUGGGAAGAAGUGAUAUGUGCCAAUGUAGACCUGAUGCAUGAAAUCACCUCACUCAACCUUCUUUCCUUGUCUUUCAGCUGGAGGCUAAUGCCCAAGUCUUCCUGGAGCCAUGCUGAAGAUGCAUAGCAGAGCUUCAUCAGCUUAAGUCUCCUAAUGGCUCUUUGAAACAGAGUCCCUCACUCCCAAAUCCCUACCACCUCCAUCUCCAUUAGACUAAGACACUAUCCAAAAAUAAACUUAUUAAGUCACUGACAUUUACCACAAGACUUAGCCUAGCAUGAUGGAUUCAAAAAAUUUUAUUUUAAGUUACAAUAUAAUGCUAACAAUCAAGGAUUUGCACAACACUUAAAGAAUUAGGGUCCUAAGGUAAAAGAAAAGCCACAGCUGGCCUUCAGGAAAUUUGGGUAAAUGGGAAAUAUAGGGAAAUAUUCCUGCUGAUAAUCUCUCCUGACUGCAAAACCAAAGAAGGUGAUUUGCAGGAGCUCUCCUGGAAAUUUGCUGUAAAUCUCCUGUCUGCUGCCUGCCAAAGUGUCUGCCUGCAGCUGCCACCAGAGAAAAAUGGCUUUUCCUUUCUCUUAUCUUCCAAAUCUUGCACAGUCCUUCUUUUUGGCAGAAUCUAACCCAGAACCCUGCUGGAAAUGGAAUUCUGAAAGGUCUAAUUCAGCUGCUUCUACCCUGAGAUGCAGAAGAGAGUUUGGAAGGGGAUGGAAGGAAGAAAGGAAGAAAAGUCUUGAAUGAUUGAUGAAUAGUGAGUGUUCGAAUUCCCCAAUGCUGAAGGCAGAGAACUUCUCUUUAGCAGGCUUUUGGAAGUUUCUUCAGAACAGCACAAGAGAUUAGGGGAGAGAUGGGGAGAUGUGCAAAAUUGGACAAUACGUUUCUGAAGCCACAUUCUAACAAAGAAAAUUUCUACAACGCAGGAAUAAAAGAAAACUAGUAGCCACAUAACUGCUAGACCACCAAGGCCUGCAAUACCCUUGUCUUAGAAAUCCCUCCCUGUUUCCUGCCCAUUACCACCUGCAGGGCCUCACUGUAUAGAUUCCUCCUCCUCCCAGAAGACUUUGGGGAUUAAAUCUAGAGAUUUCUGAAGACUUCUAGAGAUUUCUAGAGACUUCUGACUCUGCCUCCCUCCCUCAAUAUUUCUCAUUUUCCCCUUGGCAGGAAAUUUUUUAUGUAUGUGUUAUAGACAGAGCUGUGUCUUCUCCUUCAGAAGUUUUUCCUUCCACAUUUCAUUACAGGAUAGUUCUGAACAACAGAAGUGCUGUAAUGUUAACUAGAACUGGGCCUUCACAUAAAAGACACUCAGUGAAGAUUUUCUGAAUGAAGAAUGAACACGCAUGAAUGAAAUACACCUCACUAAGUCCUAACUAAAUGCCUCAGUUAGGGCCUGGAAAAGUUUGGGUACUAAGAGUAAUCAGGCUGGAUGGUUAUUUAUCAUUUGUCAGUUCCAGUUGACCAUUCUCACUUUUGGUGGUGGUAAUAACUUUAGAUAGAUCAAGAGUGUUAAAUUUUCAUUUUCCUUUUUAAAAAUUGCAUAAGCUUGCUACAGACAUGUUUUAUCCUAAUCUAUUCCCUCAUUUUUGCCUUUCUAGGAUUUGUGAUAUAAUAAAAUCAACAAUAGCUUUGCAAAAAAAUAAGUUGCAUGUCAGUUGCAAAAGAAAGAAAAUACAAUAGACUGACUCUGGGAGUGAGCACUGGGCUGAGAGUUGGAAACAGUCUCCAAACAGGGGUUCCUCCAUCACCAGCAGCAAAAUAACAAUAAUAAUAAUUGGUAACACUUCUUGAAUGUUUGGGCUUCCCUGGUGCCUCAGACAGUAAAGAAUCUGUCUACAUUGUGGGAGACCCAGGUUCGAUCCCUGGGUUGGGAAGAUCCCCUGGAGGAGGAGAUGGCAACCCACUCCAGUAUUCUUGCUGGAGAAUUCCCCUGGACAGAGGUGCCUAGCAGGCUACAGUCCAUGGAGUCGCAAAGAGUCAAACAUGACUGCACAACUAAACCCAGCAAGCACAGCACUGGGUCCUCAUAGAAAUCUCCACGGAACAGGCUAAAAUGGUGAUGGUAGUUUAGCCUCUAAAUCAUGUCUGACUCUUUGCGGCCCCAUGAACUGUUACAUGCCAGGCUUCCCUGUCCAUGGGGAUUCUCCAGGCAAGAGAACUGGAGUGGAUUGCCAUUUCCUCCUCCAGGGAAUCUUCCAGGCCCAGGGACCAAAUCCUUGUCUCUUAUAUCUGCUGUAUUCACAGGUGGGUUCUUUACUAGUACCACCUGGCAAGCCCAAAUUAUAUGCUACCUACCGCACAAUUGCACUCAUCUCACAUGCUAGUAAAGUAAUGCUCAAAAUUCUCCAAGCCAGGCUUCAGCAAUAUGUGAACUGUGAACUUCCUGAUGUUCAAGCUGGUUUUAGAAAAGGCAGAGGAAUCAGAGA